GACGAACCGUCCUAACGUUGUUCGGAAUCACUGGGCUUAAAGGGCGCGUAGGCGGGUUCCCAAGUCGGUGGUGAAAUCUUUCGGCCCAACCGGAAAACAGCCGCCGAUACUGGGAGUCUUGAGGGAGGUAGGGGUCGAUGGAACUUCCGGUGGAGCGGUGAAAUGCGUAGAUAUCAGGAGGAACACCGGUGGCGAAGGCGCCACUCUGGGCCGAAACUGACGCUGAGGAGCGAAAGCGUGGGUAGCAAACAGG
rnacentral:rRNA from 1 species